UACGUAGGGGGCAAGCGUUGUCCGGAUUUAUUGGGCGUAAAGAGCGUGUAGGCGGUCAGGUAGGUCCGUUGUGAAAACUCGAGGCUCAACCUCGAGACGCCGAUGGAAACCAUCUGGCUAGAGUCCGGAAGAGGAGAGUGGAAUUCCUGGUGUAGCGGUGAAAUGCGCAGAUAUCAGGAGGAACACCGGUGGCGAAGGCGGGUCUCUGGGCCGAUACUGACGCUGAGGAGCGAAAGCGUGGGGAGCGAACAGG
rnacentral:rRNA from 1 species